rnacentral:rRNA from 1 species
GACGAACGCUGGCGGCGUGCCUAAUACAUGCAAGUAGAACAGUUGCGAACGGGUGAGUAACGCGUAGGUAACUGCCUCAUAGCGGGGGAUAACUAUGGGAAAGGAGAGCUAAAACCGCAAACUGUGAGAUGGACCUGCGUUGGAUUGGCUAGGUGGUGAGGUAACGGCUCACCAAGGCGACGAUACAUAGCCGGCCUGAGAGGGUUAUCGGCCACACUUGGACUGAGACACGGCCCAGACUCCUACGGGAGGCAGGCGUAGGGGAUCUUUGGCAAUGGACCGAAGUCUGACCGCGCAACUGCGCGUGAUUGAAGAAGGUUUUCGGAUCGUAAAGCUCUUUUGUUAGAGAAGCGUUAACUAACCAGAAAGGGACGGCUAACUACGUGCCAGCAGCCGCGGUAAUUC